UACGUAGGCAGCGAGCGUUGUUCGGAGUUACUGGGCGUAAAGGGUGUGUAGGCGGUUCUUUAAGUUUGGCGUGAAAUCUCCCGGCUCAACCGGGAGGGUGCGUCGAAUACUGAGGGACUAGAGUACGGGAGAGGAAAGUGGAAUUCCUGGUGUAGCGGUGAAAUGCGUAGAUAUCAGGAGGAACACCGGUGGUGUAGACGGCUUUCUGGACCGUAACUGACGCUGAGGCGCGAAAGCGUGGGGAGCAAACAGG
rnacentral:rRNA from 1 species